rnacentral:misc_RNA from 1 species
AUGGUGAUGCUUAUGAGCAGCACCUCAUCCUUUUCUCUCCUCCCACUCAACUCAAACCCCUCUACAUCUACCACUGCCGCUGUCGUCGGCAACUCACCCGCCGUUCUUCAUAGUGUCAACUGUUGUACAGAUUAUCUAUUUAGGAUCGUUUCUGGCCAUCGGAUAAGACAAGUGGCUGUACGGAAUAGCAAUCGAACGGCUGAGGUUACUUCAUCCUCUGAUUCUGUAACUGAUUUAGAGUCGGCGGCGAGUGUGGUGAGGAAAUUCUAUGCCGGAAUAAAUAGGCGGGAUUUGGACUCUGUCGAAGAACUUAUUGCUGAGGAUUGUGUGUAUGAAGACCUUGUAUUUCCUCAACCUUUCGUUGGCCGUAAGGCAAUUCUAGAUUUUUUCAAGAAGUUCACUGAUUCAGUUGGUUCUGAUCUGCAAUUUGUUAUUGACGAUAUAUCCAAGGAGGAUUCAUCAGCUGUUGGAGUCACAUGGCACUUGGUUAUGGCAGAGACAGUGUGGAACCUGCAGUCAAGCCGGGGGAGACGGCAUUGGUUGCGAUAAGAGGCGUGGCAUGGCUGUUGCAAAAAUUUCCCCAAUUGGCAGAUCGGUUGUGAUUGAAGAAGUAUGAUUGGUCUUAUAAGAUUGAAGUUAAUUUAUGAGGGGAAAAAAAAUCAGUAUAUACAUGUCAUUACUUGUAAUGUAAGCCUGAAAGGCUUUACUAGUAUGUACAUAAUGAAUUUGUGCAUAGUUACUUGAUAAAAAUAUUCAUUUCCACCUUGUAUGUCAUGG